AUUGAACGCUGGCGGCAGGCUUAACACAUGCAAGUCGAGCGGAGAUGAGGUGCUUGCACCUUAUCUUAGCGGCGGACGGGUGAGUAAUGCUUAGGAAUCUGCCUAUUAGUGGGGGACAACAUUCCGAAAGGAAUGCUAAUACCGCAUACGCCCUACGGGGGAAAGCAGGGGAUCUUCGGACCUUGCGCUAAUAGAUGAGCCUAAGUCGGGUUAGCUAGUUGGUGGGGUAAAGGCCUACCAAGGCGACGAUCUGUAGCGGGUCUGAGAGGAUGAUCCGCCACACUGGGACUGAGACACGGCCCAGACUCCUACGGGAGGCAGCAGUGGUGAAUAUUGGACAAUGGGCUGAAGCCUGAUCCAGCCAUGCCGCGUGUGUGAAGAAGGCCUUUUGGUUGUAAAGCACUUUAAGCGAGGAGGAGGCUACCUGGAUUAAUACUCUAGGAUAGUGGACGUUACUCGCAGAAUAAGCACCGGCUAACUCUGUGCCAGCCGCCGCAGUAAGAC
rnacentral:rRNA from 1 species